rnacentral:lncRNA from 1 species
GGGGAGGCGUUAAUGGGAACAGCAUUGAGCUCCAUGAAGAAGGGCACUGAUAAGAGACCUGUAAAUAAGGCAGAGUGCUGAGACACAAGCCCAUGCACACACGAGCACACACACAUAUGUGUAUACUAGUAAACACAUGCAACAUAACUUGUAAUCACCUAAGUGUGGCUCACAGGUUGGAGGGUGGUGGAGGAGGUUAGCCUGUUUCUCUCUUCGAAAAAUAAUGUUUAAUUUAGUCAUUAUAACCAUUCUAUCCUUUGUCAUAAGAUUUUUGAAACUCAAGAGGUUUAAAGCAUCGCUGUAGUUUAUACUUACAUAUUUUUUUAAAUCAACAAAUCAUUCCAAGUGCAGAUAAGACCCAGGUCCCUAAAAGAUUGCAAUAGCCUCAGUCACAAGGGCUUAUUUUCUUACUUAUUUCGCUACUUAUGUGAACUUUCAGAGUCCACCAAAUAAGGUUAAAAUAAGAAAAGGAGGGCUUACUCCACCCUAAUUAUUUGUUUUAGAAGAAAGAAUUGAUCGAGAUGGCAACCAUCUACCCGACAGAGAAGCCAGCACGAAGAGCCCUUGUAUGAAGGUGCAUUUGCCCCCCAAGAUAAAGAAGGGAAGUAGCAGGAAAUCAGAGAGUUUAACAAUACUCUCCUUUCUUCCAUCAUAACGUAAACAACCGUCCCUGUCUUUGGUCAGAAGGCACUAGCCUCAUGAGGCCGCAAAUGGGAACCACACCAAAUAGCCACUGCUGGCAGAAGAUAUGGAGGAAAGGAAGUGUCCGUAGGAGGUUUAUUUAUUUUACCAGAGGCUGCAACUGUCAGGGGAGACUGUAAAUGCCAUACACUUUAUUCUGGACAGGCUGUCAACUUCAAAGCAGAGGUCUGUGGAGAGGAGUCUGGAAUCUUCUCACCGCCAUUAAGCAAAGCCCCACCAAGUUAAGCUGAACUUCUCUAGUGUUUGUGAAAUGAAACACACACACCGUAGGUUACGAUUCUGCUGGCAGGUAGGUGUUGUUAAGAAGGCCACUGCUUUUUGAGAGAGUUACGGACUGCCAAGGAAGAAAAUCCAAGAAGUGUACAGUGGACAAAAGCAGGAGUUUGUAUUAACCCUUGGCCCGUGAUAUUCCUGGCUCUUUUUGCAUUACUCAUUUCAGGAUAUUUUAAGAAAGAGGACUGUGUUUUCUGACUGUAAAUACAAGUGCAGCAGGUUGAACCAGGAUACACCAAAUAUUUUUCUAACUGAGGGAGACCAAUGUAGAAUUUAGAUGCCAACAAGAUGACUCAACAGCCGUUUGUCUCAUAUUUACUCAUUUAGGACCAAGGGGAGUGGAAAGAAACAGCUGGUGUGAGCUAUUUCUAUUGGGAAGCAACAAGAUACAGCAUGCCGUUGGAGAUUAUUUUAAACCCAAGGUAUAUUAUUGUCACAGGUCUUUUAUAGAGCCUUCACACCCACUAAGCUCCUCUGUCAAUGUAUAUACACAUAUACAAAGAAGUUUUAACUGGAUCUCAUUGGGAGGGUUUAAAAAAAAAAAAAAAUCUGAAGCCACAUUGUGUAGCCCUUCAUGGUGAAAAGACCAACUGCUCCUGUUAAUAAGAAAGCCAUGUCUUUAUUGUUUCAUGUGCGAUGUAGCCCAUCUGAGCGACCCCAGCUUUUUUCCACUAGUGGUUGGUAACUACCUCACCAAAGCCUCCCAGGGACUGAAUUCCUGGGGAUGUUUACUCUUCCAUUACUAACACUCCCAACACAUCCUCCAGCUUUAACUUGGUAGCCUGUCUCCUCCACCAGGGAAAGCGCCAACUUAGAUUUUCUGGAGCAGGGCUUCAGGUAGUGGUUUAUUUGUGUUCCAUUUAACCUCUGAGGAAACUCAAUGCAGAAAUACAAUUUUAAGGAAGAGGUCUCUGUUUUUAUCGACUUUUAGAGUCAAAAGCAAAUUUUGAGGAGUUUCAAGGUCAGUAUUCUUUUUCGUAGGUACCUUCUCAAUACUUCAGCAAAUUUCCUGGCACGUAAGAAGUACUUAGUUAAUGUCAGUUGAUUGAUAGUUGGCUUUUUUUUGUUUGUUUUUGGGGUUUUUUUGAUUUUUGUGUUUUUUUGUUUUGUUUUGUUUUGUUUUUGUUUUUGUUUUUGUUUUGCUUUUUAGGGCUGUACCUGAGGCACACGGAAGUUCCCAGGCUAGGGGUCGAAUCAGAGCUACAGCUGCCAGCCUACAGCACAGCCACAGCAAUGCAGGAUCAGAGCCGUGUAUGCAAACUACAGCACAUCUCAUGGCAACACCAGAUCCUUAAUCCACCCAGCGAGGUCAGGGAUUGAACCUGCAUCCUCAUGAAUACUAGUCAGAUUUGUUUCUGCUGCACCACAAUGGGAACUCCAAUACUGUUGGCUUUUAUUCAGGCUUUUGAAGACAUUCUUUCUAAUAUCAGUUCUUAUUAUUCAAGAUUCUGGCUACAAACAUGAAAGAGUAUUUUGUGGGUACUGAGUUGAUGAGGCAUUUAAUAUCUGUUUGGUUUUGUUUUCUUUACUAAAUCCCUGCUAAUUACUUGUCUUCUAUUGUAGUUGCUUUCAUGGUUAUUCUGUUUUGUUUGUUUGCUUUGUUAUGUGUUAUCUGAUUGUUUUUUCUCCAAAAAAGUAGCGUAAAAAAUACACUAGAUGUCUUUUCUUAACUUUUACAUCCUACACCACUCUUCUUCCAUUGCCAACAUGCGCACACACACACACACACACACACACACAGAGAGAUUUGAAACUCCUAUAAAGGACUUCUUUCAGAACCUCUAUCAUCCUCAGAAAUUCUAUUUUCUGCUUUUAUUAUCCACUUAAUUCCUCUCAAAGAACAAUUUGUUUUUUAAGGAUACUGUUAAAAGCUAAGGUCAUUUCUAGUCUUUCUGUCCUCAUUCCCAACAUGUCUUUAAUGAUGAUAUUUCAGUCCUGUGCUUGGCGCUGUCUUUUGGAAGGCCCUUUCUAACAACUUUAAUGUACAGCCUUGAAGAGAAUCUAAGUGAUUUGACCAAGGUCUCAUAUAAAUUACUUCUAGAAAUAAGUUGAGUGUACGGAUUUUUCUGACUCCCAGUUCAGCAUACUUUUCACUGACUGUAUCCAGCUGAAGUCUGCCAUCCAAGAGACUUAACAUUCUCAGAGGAAUUAAAAACCAGCAAUAUGAACAACAAUAAUUACACUGUAAGAUGAUUUCUCUAGUGUGAUAAACGUCCACCAUGUUGCUCAAUGAAAAAAUGUGAUGCCAAGUCAAACAGCAUAAGCUGUGCCCAGCUUAUGGUAUUGAUAAGGAUAAUGGUAUAAAUGAUGCAACCUCAGAUAAAUGGUGAAACAAGCAUAUGACUGAUUAAAGGGCCCAGUAAAUACUAGAAUAGUGAUGACCUGAGAAUGGGUUAGAGAGUUUAAUGAGAGCUUAAGUAACUAUGAUGUGUCACACACACACAAAAUCCACUUUCCCACCAAAAUAUACCCGCUUUCCCAUAAAUAACAUCAUUACUUACAUUGUGGCUGUUAUCAAAAGUAUCCUUUCCUUUUUUCCCCUUUCUAUCACAUGAAUCCUAUCUUUCCUUCAAGAGUUUUUCCUGCUCCAUGAGGCCUUCUUUGAGCAUCUGGGCCUCACAAUUUCCUCUCCUUACUCUGAACCUUAGUCUGUGCUUUGACUGUCUGCUAAAUUUUUUUUUCAAAAAAAGUCUAUAUUUUAUUCUUCUCACUAAAACCUCCAUGCCUUCUAUGUAUUUGCUUCUUCCAAAUAGUUUACGACAGCUCAAUACAUUUCUGAUAACGAACUGACUUCAGAGUCGGGGAGCAGAGGCAUACAAGAGAGAGUUAAAGAAGCACAGGACAUUAGGGAUGUGUCUCAGAGACAUGGGACCUGCAUUUACAGUCUGGUUUUCCUUUGCAUUUCUCAUCCCUCCUUGUAGAAAGUCAUCCAUGACAAUGAGUGCUCUGUCUGGCAUUCUCGAGUAUUCCAGGAACUUUUUUUUUUCCACAAGGGCAAAGAGCUAUUUAUUACACAUUCAGAUGUCCAUCAAUACAUGUCAGUCAAAACUAGGAAGCACAAUAUUCUUUACAAUUACAAUGUUUCAUAAGUUCGAAAUUGGGAUCCAUGGCCAGGAAAUGGAUUUUUCCUAAUUUUUAGAUGUACUUUUUAGAGGAAGAAUGCAUUAU